rnacentral:lncRNA from 1 species
GGUGAUUGUUAGCAUCACAAAGCAGAGUAAAUUCAGCUCUGAGUCAUGAGUAGAACCACUUCAACCAGCUACCUGAUCAGAUACUUAGUGUGUAGAUGGAGAUCACACUUCAUGGUCCUGCCAUGUUAAAUGGUCUGACUUGGCUAGUCACUGCUUCUUGGUCAAGAAUUUACCAUCUGAGCCACCAGGGAAGCCCCCAGUAGGUAGCACAGCACUGUUCAAUAUGCAGAGGUGUCUGGAAAAUCCAAUGCAGAUAAAUCUCCAGUUCUACACAGAGCACUAGAAGAAAAUCUUAUUUUUUGCCUAAUGGCUGGAGUUUUUACUAAUAAUACCUGGUUUUGCAUAUGGCUUUCUCUAGAUAUAUCAAAAUACAGCAAGACCACAACCUGGGGUAAGUACCAAAGAAAUAGUAGAUAAAUAUUGUUUGCAAAAUGAAGAGUGGAGGUCAGAGCUUGGGGUGAUGUCAAUUAAUGUAUGUCCAAAUAUAAUUUCACACAAAUGCAGUAAAUUGGAGUUCUGAAAUGGGAAGCAAAACAAGGACCAGGCAGAGAUGUAUGAGUUAGCUGGUGUCAUGAACUCAAGGAAGAAAUGUGAACCGUUCAUCUUAAUUCCAGCAGAAGUCCAGCUGAUUUGUAGUUGUUUUUCUAUCGCCAGAGCAUGCCUUCUCACUCCAUAUUUUUAAAGCUGCUGGAAGCACAACCGACUUUAGAGUUUGCCCUCUUAGGCUUGUUUUUUUUAAGAUUAUUUCCAUGCUUUAUACAACUGCUCUGUUAGUUAUAACCAGUCAUGAUUCAUUAAGACCACAGCAGUGGAUUUUGAAAGUAAUUCAUCUGUCUUCCUUUUAUUCCAUCUCACUCUGUAUUUGCUUAGGAGUCCUGCAGGUGGCUGGCUGGUCAAGCUGGAAGAGUAGGGUUUGGGUGAUGUCUGCUCUGAGUCACAUUCCGGGACAUGACAAUUCCAUGACCAGAGUUACCACUGAAGAGAGCCAAGACAAUGAGUGGAAUCAGACCAUGCGUGGGGCCAAGAUAAACUGGGCUAACACUCCAACUGUUCAGAAUGGCUUGGUGCCUGGACACCACCCCUGUGAACACCCAGCUCCCUAGGCCCUGCCCUGCCUUUCUGGUAGGCGAGAUUUCCCCACAUGCUACCACCCCACCAAACCACAUCUAGCAAGGCAGAAGCUUGAGUAUGUUAUGAUAUUACAGCAUUCUUAUAAUAUUUCCCUGUGUCUUCUUGAGUUUAUUUUCUUUUCAAGAAACUUUAUUUGAACAUGGUUCAAAAAUCAGAACUAUACAAAGGUGCACUGAGUAGUGUCACUUUUUUCUGUCCCCAUCCACCACUUUCUCCCCCCUCACUAUAAGCCAUCACUGAAUUUCUGCUUGCCUUUUAUUCUGUUUAGCUUUAUAUUUUUAUGCAUAUACGAGUAAAUAUUCUCAUACUUCUAUUUUUGAUACGAAAGAUCGAGCUUAUUCUGCUACAUUUUGCUGUGUUUUUUUUUUUUUUUCAUUUAAAAAUAUACUGUAGAGGACCUCCUUGGUUGUCCAGUCAUUAAGAAUCCACAUGCCAGUGAAGGGGACACAGGUUGGAUCCUUGGUCAGAGAAGAUCCUACAUGCCAUAGGGCAACUAAUUCCUCAAGCCGAAAAGACUGAAGCCUGCACACCUAGAACCUAUGCUCUGCAACAAGAGGAGCCACCACAGUGAGAAUUCCAUGCAUGGCAACUAGAGAAAGUACAUGUGUAGCAAUGAAGACCCAGCACAGCCAAAAAUUAACUAAUUAAUUAAAUUAUAUAUAUAGGUAUAUAUACCAAAAUAUUUAUAUUUAAUACCUAUAUGUAUUACUCAAUGAAACUCAGCCAUGCCCCUGGGGCCACCCAAGAUGGGCGGGUCAUGGUGGAGAGGUCUGACAGAAUGUGGUCCACUGGAGAAGGAAAUGGCAAACCACUUCAGUAUUCUUGCCUUGAGAACCCCAUGAACAGUAUGAAAAGGCAAAAUGAUAGGAUACUUGAAAGAGGAACUCCACAGGUCGGUAGGUGCCCAAUAUGCUACUGGAGAUCAGUGGAGAAAUAACUCCAGAAAGAAUGAAGGGAUGGAGCCAAAGCAAA